rnacentral:rRNA from 1 species
GGAGUUAGCCGGUGCUUCUUCUGUGAGUGAUGUCCUUCCUGCCGGCUAUUAACCCGCAGGCCUUCUUCCUCACUGAAAGUGCUUUACAACCCGAAGGCCUUCUUCACACACGCGGCAUGGCUGGAUCAGGGUUGCCCCCAUUGUCCAAUAUUCCCCACUGCUGCCUCCCGUAGGAGUCUGGGCCGUGUCUCAGUCCCAGUGUGGCUGAUCAUCCUCUCAGACCAGCUACGGAUCGUCGCCUUGGUGAGCCGUUACCUCACCAACCAGCUAAUCCGACAUAGGCUCAUCCGAUAGCGCGAGGCCCGAAGGUCCCCCGCUUUCCCCCGUAGGGCGUAUGCGGUAUUAGCCUGGGUUUCCCCAGGUUAUCCCCCACUACCGGGCAGAUUCCUAUGCAUUACUCACCCGUCCGCCGCUCGCCACCAGGGAGCAAGCUCCCCGUGCUGCCGCUCGACUUGCAUCGUGUUAGGCCUGCCGCCAGCGUUCAAUCUGAGCCAGAAUCGAAACCUCGACACGUAGACGGCGGUCGCGACGACGGCGCAG